rnacentral:tRNA from 2 species
UAGAAAGAAAGUUUUUCCUUUUUCUUGCUCUCUUGUCUCGUGUAAUACAGGGUCGUCAGAUACAUAGAUACAAUUCUAUUAC